GGAUGUGAGGGCUAUCUGGCUGCAACGUCUGUCAACCCGUUGAUCGCCAGGGUUGAUUCGGCUGAUCUGGCUGGCUAGGCGGGUGUCCCCUUCCUCCCUCACCACUCCAUGUGUGUCCCUCCCGAAGCUGCAUGCUUGGUCGAAGAGGACGACCUUCCCCGAUAGAGGAGGACCGUUCUUCGGUCAAGGGUAUACCAGUAGUUGCGCUUCCCUGCUAGAACCUCCAAACAAGCUCUCAAGAAUGGCUAGGAAUUUAACGAUGAGGUCAAGUUCUACUGUAAUGAUGGGAAACAUUUAU
ensembl:misc_RNA 7SK 7SK RNA